GACGAACGCUGGCGGCGUGCUUAACACAUGCAAGUCGAACGGAAAGGCCCUGCUUUUGUGGGGUGCUCGAGUGGCGAACGGGUGAGUAACACGUGAGUAACCUGCCCUUGACUUUGGGAUAACUUCAGGAAACUGGGGCUAAUACCGGAUAGGAGCUCCUGCUGCAUGGUGGGGGUUGGAAAGUUUCGGCGGGUGGGGAUGGACUCGCGGCUUAUCAGCUUGUUGGUGGGGUAGUGGCUUACCAAGGCUUUGACGGGUAGCCGGCCUGGGAGGGUGACCGGCCCCAUUGGGACUGAGAUACGGCCCAGACUCCUACGGGAGGCAGCAGUGGGGAAUAUUGCACAGUGGGCGGAAGCCUGAUGCAGCAACGCCGCGUGCGGGAUGACGGCCUUCGGGUUGUAAACCGCUUUCGCCUGUGACGAAGCGUGAGUGACGGUAAUGAGUAAAGAAGCACCGGCUAACUACGUG
rnacentral:rRNA from 1 species